CCCUUAGAUGUCCUGGGCCGCACGCGCGCUACACUGAUGCAUGCAACGAGUUUAUAACCUUGGCCUGAAAGGUCUGGGUAAUCUUUUGAACGUGCAUCGUGAUAGGGAUAGAUUAUUGCAAUUGUUAAUCUUGAACGAGGAAUUCCUAGUAAACGCGAGUCAUCAGCUCGCAUUGAUUACGUCCCUGCCCUUUGUACACACCGCCCGUCGCACCUACCGAUUGAAUGGUUCGGUGAAGAUCUCGGACUUCGAUAUUUAUUCUUUAUUGAGUUUAUAUUGUGGGAAGUUAUCUAAACCUCAUCAUUUAGAGGAAGGAGAAGUCGUAACA
rnacentral:rRNA from 1 species